AUUAGGGCAAUACAAUUGAAGUAAAAGUAGGAAAUUAAAUGAGUAAGAAUACACAUGCUGAAAAUUGAAACAAAUUCUGCCCAGCAACAUGACAUACCAGCGGCGGGAAGGGGGCGCUAUCUUUUCGCGUCACUGAGACAAAGGAGACAAAGAUGGAGGUUACGUCGCCUAGUAUGUUGUCAGACCUUACAUGAGGUAGACGUUAAGGACUUUGAUAGAUUCCAUAUCUUCCUGUCAGCCGGAGGGCCACCAAUGGAAACCUCUCUUGGUGAGAUUAGACAAAAUCAGUCUACCAUUACCACAGAAGACCAAAGUCAACCCCUGAAGUCACUACUCAAGAGGAAAGCCCCAC
ensembl:lncRNA